rnacentral:rRNA from 1 species
GGUUUAAUUCGAUGAUACGCGAGGAACCUUACCCGGGCUUGAAUUGCAGAGGAAGGAUUUGGAGACAAUGAACGCCCUUCGGGGUCUCUGUGAAGGUGCUGCAUGGUUGUCGUCAGCUCGUGCCGUGAGGUGUCGGCUUAAGUGCCAUAACGAGCGCAACCCCUCUCCUUAGUUGCCAUCAGGUAAAGCUGGGCACUCUGGGGACACUGCCACCGUAAGGUGUGA